ACCCCGCGCCGACCGGCCCCGGUGCGCCCAGCGGAGCGGAGCGGAGCGCGCGGAGGGAGGAGUUUUCCCAGAAUGGGACUGACGGGAAAACACGGGGAUCCCUAUUCCUGGAGGAAUCCAGCCUGGUGCCUGGGAUAGGGAAGUGCAUGAUAAAUGCUGCAUAAAUGAAAAACAAUUGCUACCGUGGAAGAUAUUGAAAGGAAAGUGCUAUCGAUGCCAAAGUUGUUUCCAAGAGAGGUAUUCCAAAAGUGUUUCAAGCAAUGACUGAGCUAAGCAUCCAGUCCUGCAAGGUGAAGGCGUUGAAGACGCAGCCCUCAUUUGAAUAGAUGAAUUGUGGUAUUCUUGUUAAAUAAUGAAUCAUAUCAAGGCUUGGUCACACCUCAUGCACAUGAAA
rnacentral:lncRNA from 1 species